GGGAAACUGGGUAUAAUACCCGAUAGAUCUCGAUUGCUGGAAUGCAUCGAGCUUGAAAGCUCCGGCGCCUAAGGAUGGGUCUGCGGCCUAUCAGGUAGUAGUGGGUGUAGGGUACCUAUUAGCCUACGACGGGUACGGGUUGUGAGAGCAAGAGCCCGAAGAUGGAUUCUGAGACACGAAUCCAGGCCCUACGGGGUGCAGCAGGCGCGAAAACUUUACAAUGCUGGAAACAGCGAUAAGGGGACCUCGAGUGCCAGGUUACAAAUCUGGCUGUCGUGAUGCCUGAAAAGCAUUGCAUAGCAAGGGCCGGGCAAGACCGGUGCCAGCCGCCGCGGUAACACCGGCGGCUCGAGUGGUAACCGUUAUUAUUGGGUCUAAAGGGUCUGUAGCCGGCCGGAUAAGUCUCUUGGGAAAUCUGGCAGCUUAACUGUCAGGCUUUCAGGAGAUACUGUCUGGCUCGAGGCCGGGAGAGGUGAGAGGUACUUCAGGGGUAGGGGUGAAAUCUUGUAAUCCUUGAAGGACCACCAGUGGCGAAGGCGUCUCACCAGAACGGACCUGACGGCAAGGGACGAAAGCUAGGGGCACGAACCGGAUUAGAUACCCGGGUAGUCCUAGCCGUAAACGAUACUCGCUAGGUGUCGGCAACGGUGCGACCGUUGUCGGUGCCGUAGGGAAGCCGUGAAGCGAGCCACCUGGGAAGUACGGCCGCAAGGCUGAAACUUAA
rnacentral:rRNA from 1 species